rnacentral:lncRNA from 1 species
AUCAGAUUACCCUUGAGGUAUUACUUGUUUCCUCAUCUCUUUUAGAUUUAUUUUAGACUUAAUAUCAGAUAUGAAGAUUAGAUCUAGAGACUUAGAUCUGAAAUAUAUGUAGGGUAAAUUUUUUUUUAAAAUUAUUCCAUCCCAGAUUUGAUGAAAUCUGGAAGAUCCUACGAGGAAAAGCAGUUUUCCUCCUUCAGCUAAACCCCCUGGUCUCAUAGAGUUCUAUGCUCCACAAGGUCCCCUCGCUCUUAGGUGCCACCCCCUCCUUUUACUCCUCUCUUCUCCAUGCACGAGGAGUCUCUUUCUUCUAGGUUAUUGCUAAAAUCAGAUUUCAAUAAAGAGAGAUCUUGAAGAUGCCCUAAUCUUGCUUCUAUUCUCAAGGUGUUGAGAAAAUUAUUCCAUCAAGUAAAAAUUCUGCAAGGGAGCUAGCAUCCCAGAGAACUAAGAAGGUUGCUGAUCAGCCCUCUAAUCCAUAUGGAUACCUGUAAAGGUCAACCACUAGUGUGGCUAUGAGAAAGAAAGUCUUUCUAUGAUCAUCGAUUGCGGAGAUUUUCUACCCAUGCAAAGGUAUAAAAAAAAUAUUUUUUUUGUUCUACUUCUUUUCUCAUC